UCCUUGCUCAGGGUCCCAUUAACAUGAACCACUUUUUGGACAUGAGCCUCUAACCACAUAGAAUUGAGUGACCAAUCCUUGCUCUGGUUCUCAUUAACAUGAACCAGCAGGUGGACUUGAGCCUCUAACCAUCUAGAAUUGAGUGAUCAAUCCCUGUGCUGGUCUCAACAACAUGAGCCAGCUUGUUGACUUGAGCCUCUAACCACCCAGGAUUGAAUAAUCAAACCUUAUGCUGGUCUCGGCUUCUUUUCUUGUUACAUUCACAGCACUGAUGCCUGACUCAUGUCACAUGAUUGAGUAUCCUGACUCGUCUACCUUUCUGCCUGCUGAACUUGUGAAUAUCCUGACUCUGACACCAUGUGGCACCUGUUGGAAUCACAACACAUCACUGAAAUGCAGUCUGCAAGUUGACGGUAACAGCUAAGAUUUGUGGAAAACUUUUGGAAGGGGCAUUGAAGUCUGGGAAUUCGUCCACAGAUCAGUCCAUUGACUAGAUGUUCCAAACCAUCCAUCAUUCAGUGGUCUGCCAUCUUGAAGGAUCAAUUUUCUUGAUGAAGAUGUGUGGGCAAAAACAUCAGCAAGGCCUAAGUGGUUCCUUUCUACUGUGGCAUUUGUUGGGGCUUCCCUUUAACAAACCUAGGCAGCACAAACAGGAGGCGACAAUCGUGCCUGCGGAAACACAUUUUUGUUAAAGGGUGCUGAGGUUGUAAAAUCAUAAAUAUCUGGGGGUUUUCGGUGAUUGUCUGAUGUGGAUGAGUUUGAAUAUGUUUGUGGCUUAACAUGGUCACAGUUGAGGGUGCUAUUUUGUACACCAGCAUCCUUGUCCAAAAAAGUUAGGGGUGCUUUGGCACCCACACCAGCCCCCGUCCCCAGGGGCUUAGCUACAAUGCUCAAAGAUUAGAUUAAAUUAGUUUUAGGCUUUUUGGAAAAGGGAAUACUAGAUGUUUUUAGUUGAACAUGCACAACCUUUUUUCACACAAAAACCCAUAUUUUUAGACUGCUUUUCAAGGGUGGAGUUUUGUCUCUAGAGAAGAAAUCAAUCAUAUUUGAAGCUAUCCUUUCUGUCUUAUCUGAGUAAAUUAAAAUUACAGAGCAUUAGACUCAUUGUUCACUCAAAUGUAGAAAUU
rnacentral:lncRNA from 1 species